UUGACGAUGGUAGGAUAAUUAUUGACCUGAGGAAUAAUAUGGAUUUAUGUGGUUGUGAGAAUAGACUUUGUGUUUGUGAGUGUGAAAAUAUGAGUGUGUGUCUGUGUAUGUGUGAACCAGGGAUCCCACUUGACAAGUUGACCUUGUCUAGAGGAGCAUUAGUGGAAAAAAACAGGGUAGCCCUGAGACAAUAGGAUGCUGUCACGACCAAUGAGACUGGCCUGCAGGGGGCGCAAGGAUUCACUUCUCUCUUGGACACUGGCGGGUGUAGACACGGUGGAUUUUGUGACGAGCGGAUUUACAAUGAGGGAAUGCUGUGAACGGGAAAAAUGAUGGAACAUUGUCGUCUUGACGAUAGUGCUGCCCUGAGUUCUGCGCGCGUUGAUUUAGCUGUCCUAACUUGCCCAGACAUGCCAUGAUGACGUCACAGCUGACGUCACAGGAUGUCCGGAACUGGUGUUCACAGCUGCGAUGCUUUGAAACCUGCCCUCGUGCUCCGUCGCCCAGCGACAGUCAGCGGCCGUUCCGGACGGCUUCCUUCAAGAUGGCGUCGUUGAUCUUCAACUAAACUCCUUCUCUCCACUCUAUCUCUAUCUAUUUUUUUAUUUUUAUCAGCUCAACUAGCCCACAACUCACACAGUGGUCUGGACACGUCCUAGAUUGUCCCCAAUUAGUGUAAUGACUCCCUGAAUUAUCCUGAUUAAUGUGGGGGGUCCCAAUUAGCUCUAAUUGCUCAUUAAUGGCGUCCAGGCCACUGUGUGAGUUGUGGGCUAGUUGAGCUGAUCAUAUACUACUUGUAUCGGCGUAUAUUGAAGGUAUAUAUUACUGUAUAUGUAUCAGGGCAUAUUUCAAGCUUCCUGAACGCGCACAGACGGUGAUCUCAGUUGUCUCGCGACGUAGCAGACGGAGAAAGACACCGGCUGUCACACAUACAGACAUCCCGAAGGCUAUGCCCAUCUUUGUUGAUGCACCCACGAAUCCACAGGAAGACUGCCGAAGCUCUCCCACUCGUAUUAAGUACCUGUAGCUUGAACUACAAACAGUUUGGUGCACACUCCACAAAACGAGAACAGCUGAUUGCUGAUUUCAUGGGCGCGGCCAUGCGAGCCGAGAAGGACAUUUCAACAGAGGAGCAAUUUUAGGUAAGUUCGAACGUGGGGCCAGUCGUCGGCGCAACAAUUUCCAGAGUGAACCAAGCUCGAUGAGCUCAGAUAACGCUUUUUUCAUUAUUUUUCUUUUUAAUAUUACUUAUUAUUAUUUUUGAUUCGUUUCCAAUUCUAAUUCCAAUUCCAGCUCAACUGUUCAGCGCGCUGACACUAGUGCAACGUAGAGUCAAUAAAUCUCUCGCUUCCCUAAGGAGAAGUGUACUUGAAGUAUAUUCGUGUUUUGUGAUUCCUUUGUCCCUCUCUACGUUCCAGAAACAUACGGUUUCUGAG